rnacentral:rRNA from 1 species
CGUCAGGAUGAACGCUGGCGGCGUGCUUAAUAUAUGCAAGUCGAACGAAGCACCUGCGUACGGAUCCCUUCGGGGUGAAGAUGCUUGUGACUGAGUGGCGGACGGGUGAGUAACGCGUGGGUAACCUGCCUAUGCAGGGGACAACAGUUGGAAACGACUGCUAAUACCGCAUAAGCGCACGGCACCGCAUGGUGCAGUGUGAAAAGAUUUAUCGGCAUAAGAUGGACCCGCGUCUGAUUAGGUAGUUGGUGAGGUAACGGCCCACCAAGCCGACGAUCAGUAGCCGACUUGAGAGAGUGAUCGGCCACAUUGGGACUGAGACACGGCCCAGACUCCUACGGGAGGCAGCAGUAGGGAAUAUUGCACAAUGGGGGAAACCCUGAUGCAAGCGACGCCGCGUGAGUGAUGAAGUAUUUCGGUACGUAAAGCUCUAUCAGCAGGGAAGAUAAUGACGGUACCUGACUAAGAAGCCCCGGCUAACUACGUGCCAGCAGCCGC